rnacentral:rRNA from 1 species
GACGAACGCUGGCGGCGUGCUUAACACAUGCAAGUCGAACGGAAAGGCCCUGCUUUUGUGGGGUGCUCGAGUGGCGAACGGGUGAGUAACACGUGAGUAACCUGCCCUUGACUUUGGGAUAACUUCAGGAAACUGGGGCUAAUACCGGAUAGGAGCUCCUGCUGCAUGGUGGGGGUUGGAAAGUUUCGGCGGUUGGGGAUGGACUCGCGGCUUAUCAGCUUGUUGGUGGGGUAGUGGCUUACCAAGGCUUUGACGGGUAGCCGGCCUGGGAGGGUGACCGGCCACAUUGGGACGGAGAUACGGCCCAGACUCCUACGGGAGGCAGCAGUGGGGAAUAUUGCACAAUGGGCGGAAGCCUGAUGCAGCAACGCCGCGUGCGGGAUGACGGCCUUCGGGUUGUAAACCGCUUUCGCCUGUGACGAAGCGUGAGUGACGGUAAUGGGUAAAGAAGCACCGGCUAACUACGUG